rnacentral:rRNA from 1 species
GUGAGGAAUAUUGGUCAAUGGGCGCAAGCCUGAACCAGCCAUCCCGCGUGAAGGAAGAAGGCGCUAUGCGUUGUAAACUUCUUUUCCAGAGGAAGAAAAACUCCGACGUGUCGGGGCUUGACAGUACCCUGGGAAUAAGCAUCGGCUAACUCCGUGCCAGCAGCCGCGGUAAUACGGAGGAUGCGAGCGUUAUCCGGAUUUAUUGGGUUUAAAGGGUGCGCAGGCGGGAUAAUAAGUCAGUGGUGAAAACCUGCAGCUUAACUGUAGAAUUGCCAUUGAUACUGUUGUUCUUGAGUAUGGUCAAGGUAGGCGGAAUGUGUAAUGUAGCGGUGAAAUGCUUAGAUAUUACACAGAACACCGAUUGCGAAGGCAGCUUGCUGGGCCAUUACUGACGCUCAUGCACGAAAGCGUGGGGAUCGAACAGGAUUAGAUACCCCGGUAGUCC